GGCUGUGGUGGCUCAGUUGGCAGAGCAUUUCCUUUGCACACAGAAGGUCCCAGGUUUAGUCUCUGCUAUAGCCA